GACGAACGCUGGCGGCGUGCCUAAUACAUGCAAGUUGAGCGAUGAAGAUUGGUGCUUGCACCAAUUUGAAGAGCAGCGAACGGGUGAGUAACGCGUGGGGAAUCUGCCUUUGAGCGGGGGACAACAUUUGGAAACGAAUGCUAAUACCGCAUAACAACUUUAAACAUAAGUUUUAAGUUUGAAAGAUGCAAUUGCAUCACUCAAAGAUGAUCCCGCGUUGUAUUAGCUAGUUGGUGAGGUAAAGGCUCACCAAGGCGAUGAUACAUAGCCGACCUGAGAGGGUGAUCGGCCACAUUGGGACUGAGACACGGCCCAAACUCCUACGGGAGGCAGCAGUAGGGAAUCUUCGGCAAUGGACGAAAGUCUGACCGAGCAACGCCGCGUGAGUGAAGAAGGUUGUCGGAUCGUAAAGCUCUGUUGGUAGAGAAGAACGUUGGUGAGAGUGGAAAGCUCAUCAAGUGACGGUAACUACCCAGAAAGGGACGGCUAACUACGUG
rnacentral:rRNA from 1 species